UACGGGGGGGGCAAGCGUUGUCCGGAAUCACUGGGCGUAAAGGGCUCGUCGGCGGCCAACUAAGUCCGACGUGAAAUCCCCAGGCUUAACCUGGGAACUGCGUCGGAUACUGGAUGGCUUGAAUUCGGGAGAGGGAUGCAGAAUUCCAGGUGUAGCGGUGAAAUGCGUAGAUAUCUGGAGGAAUACCGGUGGCGAAGGCGGCAUCCUGGACCGACAUUGACGCUGAUGAGCGAAAGCUAGGGGAGCAAACGGG
rnacentral:rRNA from 1 species